GGGUAGACUUUGGGGAUAAGACUUCAACUCCCAGUGCAUCUUAAAGUGCUGACACAUCAUCCCAGGCCAAAUGUGUUUCCCUCACCGGGCAGAUUAAGGACACAGACAGCUACUGAGAGACAUAAUUGUCAUUGUGCACUUCUGUGAUCCCAGGGAGCUGCCACCUCUGACGCUACAAAUUCCCCCAGGGGAGCUGUUGUUUCAAGGAUGAACAAGAUUAGAUCAAGAGAGGAGAAAAAUCACGUCACUGCCUGCGGAGUGGGAGAGUCUCGGGCUGUUUGAUGUGGUUUAGGAAGCAAGUUUUUGUUGCUGUUUUCUAAAGAUCAUCCCUUUCCGGGGAGAUGAAGAGCCGCUAAAUUUUCCCUCCGGCCUGGAGCAUCCCAGCCCUUCACCCCUUUCAAUACAAUGGCUGAGAACCCAGCCCCGAAGGCAGAAGGACUCACCACCAGAUGGCACUCUGUGGAAGACGCCGCAGGGCACAGAACAGAAUGCUUAAAGGCAUCCUUGAAAAGCACCACGCCGGUUCUCUCAGACCAGAGAUCUUGAAAAUUACUUUUAUAUCUUAUAAGCAACAAUAGAACAUUUGCUCACAUACGAUAGAUACAUUUACCCACUUGUAAUCAUAUAUGUGCUACUAUCGAUCCAUUCUAAAUAUUUUUAAAACAUCUAGAUAAAUCUUUUGAUUUAGUAUUUUAUCCCUCAUUAGAAUGAAAAAUAUUAUAAAUAUUCCAGAGAAAAUGUGUUUAAAUUUUACCAAAAGUGAAUUCUUUGUUAGCUGGGUUUUUUUGUUUGUUUUGUUUUUCAAG